CGGGACAGAUGUGGCCUCAGAUCAU
rnacentral:miRNA from 1 species